CACACUAGGGAGUUCUGUUGCAUGCACCACUGUAUAUGUGAUGUAAUAUUAGUUCACACACUCCACUUAUUCACAGCAUUUUCACAACUGGUCUCCCCUGGUCUUCGCAAGAAGCCUCCAGGUUACGUUGGGUGUGGAAAGUCCUCUGAGAGCUGAGAUGGCGCCUCUUUCGAUCGGAGUUCAGGUUUGCAUGGCUUAACCUGCAGCACCCAGCAGCAUGUCUGGGACUCAGGAGACGCUCAGCAAAGGACAGCUGCAGAAGAGGGGUUAGAGUGACAGGAGCCAAAGGGAAGAGAAGAGAGCCAUCUCUGAGACCCAGAUGGGAGCCCGUGGUUGUGAGGGGCCAGACUUUGGGAGAAUAACCUGAGGAAUAGGCGGGGAAUGGCAACUACAGGAAGAAAAGAAGAAAAAGAAAACAAACAAACACCUUUCACUUAGAAACUGAGGUCUCUUGUUGUAUCGUGUAACUUCCCACUUCCUCAUACAAAUCAGCAUCUCUUUUUUUCUCCUUCAAAUAAAGUUCUCUUUUCCCUUUUGAA